rnacentral:rRNA from 1 species
AGCGAACGCUGGCGGCAGGCUUAACACAUGCAAGUCGAACGGGCACUUCGGUGUCAGUGGCAGACGGGUGAGUAACACGCGGGAACGUACCUCUUGGUUCGGAACAACACAGGGAAACUUGUGCUAAUACCGGAUAAGCCCUUACGGGGAAAGAUUUAUCGCCGAGAGAUCGGCCCGCGUCUGAUUAGCUAGUUGGUAGGGUAACGGCCUACCAAGGCGACGAUCAGUAGCUGGUCUGAGAGGAUGAUCAGCCACAUUGGGACUGAGACACGGCCCAAACUCCUACGGGAGGCAGCAGUGGGGAAUAUUGGACAAUGGGGGCAACCCUGAUCCAGCCAUGCCGCGUGAGUGAUGAAGGCCCUAGGGUUGUAAAGCUCUUUUGUGCGGGAAGAUAAUGACGGUACCGCAAGAAUAAGCCCCGGCUAACUUCGUGCCAGCCGCCGCUGUAA